GGCAGUACUAAAGAAAAGCUUCAACUGUGAUUGGUAGACAUAAAAUUAGGGGAAGAUAUAGGAAGUGAUGCAAAAGAAGCAUCUUUAAAAUGAGAUAUCACUUCCUGUGAGGGACAGUUCUUCAUUCUUUGGAGUGGAGGCUGAAGGAGAAAUCUGCUGACUGGACCUGAGGCCCUGUUCCAAAUGAGACUGUUGGACUGAUACGUGGUCAACCAAGAGAUCAAUGGCAUCUCCAGACCCUGACUCAGUUGGAUACCAGGAUGGACAUUAGAAACUGGGAAAGAAGGGCCCUGCUGUAUUAUGGUUGUCUUUGAGUAGCUAAAAGAAAUUGGACAAUUGGACUGAACAGUCAGAUGGGCGUGGAGAAGCACUAUGACUUGGAAAAUGUAGGGAAU
ensembl:lncRNA